UACGUAGGGUGCAAGCGUUAAUCGGAAUUACUGGGCGUAAAGCGUGCGCAGGCGGUGAUGUAAGACAGUUGUGAAAUCCCCGGCUCAACCUGGGAACUGCAUCUGUGACUGCAUCGCUGGAGUGCGGCAGAGGGGGAUGGAAUUCCGCGUGUAGCAGUGAAAUGCGUAGAUAUGCGGAGGAACACCGAUGGCGAAGGCAAUCCCCUGGGCCUGCACUGACGCUCAUGCACGAAAGCGUGGGGAGCAAACAGG
rnacentral:rRNA from 1 species